AGUGAACGCUGGCGGUAGGCCUAACACAUGCAAGUCGAACGGCAGCACAGUAAGAGCUUGCUCUUACGGGUGGCGAGUGGCGGACGGGUGAGGAAUACAUCGGAAUCUACUUUUUCGUGGGGGAUAACGUAGGGAAACUUACGCUAAUACCGCAUACGACCUACGGGUGAAAGCAGGGGAUCUUCGGACCUUGCGCGAUUGAAUGAGCCGAUGUCGGAUUAGCUAGUUGGCGGGGUAAAGGCCCACCAAGGCGACGAUCCGUAGCUGGUCUGAGAGGAGGAUCAGCCACACUGGAGCUGAGACACGGUCCAGACUCCUACGGGAGGCAGCAGUGGGGAAUAUUGGACAAUGGGCGCAAGCCUGAUCCAGCCAUACCGCGUGGGUGAAGAAGGCCUUCGGGUUGUAAAGCCCCUUUGUUGGGAAAGAAAAGCAGCAGGUUAAGACCCCGCUGUUCUGACGGUACCCAAAGAAUAAGCACCGGCUAACUUCGUG
rnacentral:rRNA from 1 species